GCCUGUUGCUCAUGUGUGGUUGGAGAAGGGUGUAACAACUCUGUCUGAUCAGGGUGAUACCCUAGCCAGGGCACAAGGAGAGCAGAAAGGUAAUUUGGUUGUGAUACCUACGGACAGUUUAACAACUUGUAGCAAAAAGGAAAGAAUUCCUAAGCUUGUGUGUGGCAAAGAGAAGGGAAAUAUUUCUAACCUUUUAUCUAGGAAGUCUAUGGGUUCGCCUGAAAGGGGAUUGUGUAGAGAUCUGCCUGAUGGGCCAAAGGUGAUCCUGAAUGUAAGUAAGACCCAGACAGAGUCUGUUGUUGCUCAGGAAAGUGUUCCUUUAGAGCAAGCCCUAGGUGAAGAGGGUAAGGGCAGAAUUUCUGUGAGGGGUGAAUUGCUGCUUAGAAAAGCUCCUGGAGAAAGGAAUCCUCAUGGUAAUCUGGGCAAGCAGUUCCCUGCAACUGAAGGGUAUGAGAGUGAUUUAAUCAAGGAAGUUUCAGUUCCUAGCAGCAAAAAAUUGUCUGUUGUGAAUGGAUCCACUGACUUUCCUUUUAAAAGAUCCAGUGUGGGUAGCUUUGAGAAGGUCUCAGAGGAAGUAAAAGUUGUUAAGGAAUUGAGGCAGCCCUAUAACCAAGUGGCUGGGUGGGGCCAACUUGUUGGGGAGACAAUGGUGUUGAAACAGGAAUGUCUCCUUUCUGAUUCUUUAAAUGAGCAGUUUGUGCUUCAGGGUUUGAGGACAAAUUUGAUUACUGAUGUGUCAGAGCAGAGCAGUUUUAUGGCUAAAUGCUUGAGCAUGCGGGGGAGAGGAAGCAAACUCUCACCCGCAGACUCUUUGGAUUUGUGUGGUAUCGCUUUAAGACAGAGUCCAGCCUUGGGAAUGAUAGCAGUUACGAAUAUGAAAACUGGUGGACUGGCUCUGGUCUGGGGUAGUGCAAAUUACUUGCCUGGCUGGGAGGGGAAGGACUUGCUAAUAGCUGUUAGCACAGAGGGCCCACCCCAUCAGCCAGUGAAUUCUGUUAAGCAAGAGAAAUCAGGGUUUGAUCCUGCAGGACAAGGAGGAAAGAGAAAACUGAAUUUUGCAAAGGGAAGCCACAGGUUAACCCUAAAAUGCCCAAACUCCAAUGGUAUUGAGCCAAAGGUGUGGCAUGACAAAAACGAUUUUAGAUGGACACUUGCAAUGAACUUGUUGUUAUUGCUAAAUUUUGUAAUGAAUGUGUUGAUAUUGCCACAAACUGUAAAAAUGUACAAUGUGCCUGAUCUUUUGGAGAAUCCCUUGAACAUGUUAAAAGGAAUACAUAAGAACACACUUUAUGUUAAAAGGCCUUGCUAUAUUGAUGUUUCACAGUUGAUGCCUGUAAACAAUAUGGGAACUUUUCACAGGGGAAAAGAUAUUCCAGACCUAAUGUGCUGUAUGAAAAGGAAGACUGAGGCACACUACCAUAUUGCUUUCAUGGCUAAAGGCCAAGAUUCCUGUACUAUGCAGAACAUUAAUAUCUGCAUUUAUUUGAUGUUAAUUGGGUUCCAAACAUUUGCCCGAGCUUGUGUGGAUAAAGUAGCGGUUCUCUUUAGCUCUUGGAAAGAUCACAUGAGACAUACAGGGACGAUGCUGCCAGAGCAGAUCCAAUCCACUAUUGUUCUAACUAAGUUUUACUUUGGGUUUGUAAAGAGGUUCAAUCAUG
rnacentral:lncRNA from 1 species